rnacentral:tRNA from 1 species
GCCCCGGUGGCUCAGUGGUAAAGCGCAUCACUAGUAAUGAUGAGAUCGUCAGUUCGAUUCUGGCCCGGGGCA